rnacentral:rRNA from 1 species
AUACGGAGGGGGCUAGCGUUGUUCGGAAUUACUGGGCGUAAAGCGCGCGUAGGCGGAUCGUUAAGUCAGGGGUGAAAGCCCGGAGCUCAACUCCGGAACUGCCCUUGAUACUGGCGAUCUUGAGUCCGGGAGAGGUGAGCGGAAUUCCUAGUGUAGAGGUGAAAUUCGUAGAUAUUAGGAGGAACACCAGUGGCGAAGGCGGCUCACUGGCCCAUUACUGACGCUGAGGUACGAAAGCGUGGGGAGCAAACAGGAUUAGAAACCCCGGUAGUCC